GUUCCUGGCUCAGGACGAACGCUGGCGGCGUGCCUAAUACAUGCAAGUAGAACGCUGAAGAGAGGAGCUUGCUCUUCUUGGAUGAGUUGCGAACGGGUGAGUAACGCGUAGGUAACCUGCCUUGUAGCGGGGGAUAACUAUUGGAAACGAUAGCUAAUACCGCAUAACAAUGGAUGACACAUGUCAUUUAUUUGAAAGGGGCAAUUGCUCCACUACAAGAUGGACCUGCGUUGUAUUAG
rnacentral:rRNA from 1 species